GACGAACGCUGGCGGCGCGCUUAACACAUGCAAGUCGAGCGAGAACCAGGGCUUCGGCCCUGGGGAAAGCGGCGAACGGGUGAGUAACACGUGAGUAACCUGUCCUCGGCACCGGGAUAGCCCGGGGAAACCCGGAUUAAUACCGGAUGGCCUUUCGAGUCUUCGGGCUCGUCAGAAAAGGUAAGCUUCGGCCUCCGGCCGAGGAGGGACUCGCGGCGGAUUAGCUUGUUGGUGAGGUAACGGCUCACCAAGGCGACGANCCGUAGCUGGUCUGAGAGGACGAUCAGCCACACUGGGACUGAGACACGGCCCAGACUCCUACGGGAGGCAGCAGUGGGGAAUCUUGCGCAAUGGGCGAAAGCCUGACGCAGCGGCGCCGCGUGCGGGAAGAAGGCCUCGGUUGUAACG
rnacentral:rRNA from 1 species